CUCUGGUAUUGAUUGGUGCUUGCAUCAUGAUUUACAUUUGAGUGAGUGGCGAACUGGUGAGUAACACGUGGGAAACCUGCCCAGAAGCGGGGGAUAACACCUGGAAACAGAUGCUAAUACCGCAUAACAACUUGGACCGCAUGGUCCGAGCUUGAAAGAUGGCUUCGGCUAUCACUUUUGGAUGGUCCCGCGGCGUAUUAGCUAGAUGGUGGGGUAACGGCUCACCAUGGCAAUGAUACGUAGCCGACCUGAGAGGGUAAUCGGCCACAUUGGGACUGAGACACGGCCCAAACUCCUACGGGAGGCAGCAGUAGGGAAUCUUCCACAAUGGACGAAAGUCUGAUGGAGCAACGCCGCGUGAGUGAAGAAGGGUUUCGGCUCGUAAAACUCUGUUGUUAAAGAAGAACAUAUCUGAGAGUAACUGUUCAGGUAUUGACGGUAUUUAACCAGAAAGCCACGGCUAACUACGUGCCAGCAGCCGCGGUAAUACGUAGGUGGCAAGCGUUGUCCGGAUUUAUUGGGCGUAAAGCGAGCGCAGGCGGUUUUUUAAGUCUGAUGUGAAAGCCUUCGGCUCAACCGAAGAAGUGCAUCGGAAACUGGGAAACUUGAGUGCAGAAGAGGACAGUGGAACUCCAUGUGUAGCGGUGAAAUGCGUAGAUAUAUGGAAGAACACCAGUGGCGAAGGCGGCUGUCUGGUCUGUAACUGACGCUGAGGCUCGAAAGUAUGGGUAGCAAACAGGAUUAGAUACCCUGGUAGUCCAUACCGUAAACGAUGAAUGCUAAGUGUUGGAGGGUUUCCGCCCUUCAGUGCUGCAGCUAACGCAUUAAGCAUUCCGCCUGGGGAGUACGGCCGCAAGGCUGAAACUCAAAGGAAUUGACGGGGGCCCGCACAAGCGGUGGAGCAUGUGGUUUAAUUCGAAGCUACGCGAAGAACCUUACCAGGUCUUGACAUACUAUGCAAAUCUAAGAGAUUAGACGUUCCCUUCGGGGACAUGGAUACAGGUGGUGCAUGGUUGUCGUCAGCUCGUGUCGUGAGAUGUUGGGUUAAGUCCCGCAACGAGCGCAACCCUUAUUAUCAGUUGCCAGCAUUAAGUUGGGCACUCUGGUGAGACUGCCGGUGACAAACCGGAGGAAGGUGGGGAUGACGUCAAAUCAUCAUGCCCCUUAUGACCUGGGCUACACACGUGCUACAAUGGAUGGUACAACGAGUUGCGAACUCGCGAGAGUAAGCUAAUCUCUUAAAGCCAUUCUCAGUUCGGAUUGUAGGCUGCAACUCGCCUACAUGAAGUCGGAAUCGCUAGUAAUCGCGGAUCAGCAUGCCGCGGUGAAUACGUUCCCGGGCCUUGUACACACCGCCCGUCACACCAUGAGAGUUUGUAACACCCAAAGUCGGUGGGGUAAC
rnacentral:rRNA from 2 species